UACGGGGGGGGCAAGCGUUGUUCGGAAUUACUGGGCGUAAAGGGCGCGUAGGCGGCCCUCUAAGUCGGACGUGAAAUCCCUCGGCUCAACCGGGGAACUGCGUCCGAUACUUGAGGGCUUGAAUCCGGGAGAGGGAUGUGGAAUUCCAGGUGUAGCGGUGAAAUGCGUAGAUAUCUGGAGGAACACCGGUGGCGAAGGCGGCAUCCUGGACCGGUAUUGACGCUGAGGCGCGAAAGCUAGGGUAGCAAACGGG
rnacentral:rRNA from 1 species